rnacentral:rRNA from 1 species
CAUGUAGGCGGAUUAAUAAGUUUGAAGUGAAAUCCUAUAGCUUAACUAUAGAACUGUUUUGAAAACUGUUAAUCUAGAAUGUGGGAGAGGUAGAUGGAAUUUCUGGUGUAGGGGUAAAAUCCGUAGAGAUCAGAAGGAAUACCGAUUGCGAAGGCGAUCUACUGGAACAUUAUUGACGCUGAGAUGCGAAAGCGUGGGGAGCAAACA